rnacentral:misc_RNA from 1 species
UUGGUGUUGGGGACCCUUCCCGGAACGUUAGCAUUCAGAUACAUGCUGGGACUUCACUUGCUCCUGGUGUUUCAUCCAGUGGCAGCAGGGUUAAUUUAGGGGAAGUUUUACGUGCUGAGCGGUCAAAUGCGCAACACACAAGCACAAACGGAAAUGGUUCUGGUGAUUCAGGUCCUACACGAGGAUUGUCCUCAAGAACUAUCGUGGCACCGAUCCCACCUCGUUCUGCCCCAGAAAAUACCCGUCAUGUGCUCAGUGUUAUUUACCCUGUUCAAGUGAGGUCUCAGCAAUCACAGCAGUCAGUCCCCAUCCAUUCAUCUUCUGUUCAAGCUUCCCAACCAUCUGUAAAUGAUGGGA